rnacentral:pre_miRNA from 1 species
UAUAAGUGCAGCUAUAAGUUUCCGUGCCCAACGUUUGACCGUCCGUCUUAUUUAAAAAAAUUAUGAAAAAAUUUAAAAAGUUAAGUCAUGCAUAAAGUACUAUUCAUAUUUUAUCAUCUAAUAAUAAUAAAAAUACUAAUAAAAAUAUUUUAAAUAAGACGGAUGGUCAAAGUUGGGUACUGAAACCCACAACUGCGCUUAUU